AUCUAUCUGAGUCUUCUAAUCUUUUUUUUUACCUGAAACAAGCUCUUGCAUCAGAUUUGUUAUCUAUUCCAAAAGUGUAUUCGAGAGGGAAAAAAAAGAAAAGACACACUAUUGGUAAAGUGGCUAAGGUGCAGAGAGAAAGGCAAGUUGUUAAUAUGGUGCGGGUUUGUCCACACACGCUGACAUGGACCGCAACUUCUAAGAUGCUAUCCACGCACUUCGUCGGACCCAUUACUAAAUCCAACGGCUGAGAUUCGAUGGACUUUUUCUUCGUCGAGAAUUAUCAGAGAAGGCACGCGCAUGAGCAAACGUGGGACCUGAAUUUCACCGGCCACAUCAACCCGUAAUAACCGUUCAUUAGUCGACUCAGUCAACUUAAAUUACGACACUUGUCAACAUCUCAGUCUUUGAUAUGUCUCCU